AGUGAACGCUGGCGGUAGGCCUAACACAUGCAAGUCGAACGGCAGCACAGUAAGAGCUUGCUCUUACGGGUGGCGAGUGGCGGACGGGUGAGGAAUACAUCGGAAUCUACUUUUUCGUGGGGGAUAACGUAGGGAAACUUACGCUAAUACCGCAUACGACCUACGGGUGAAAGUAGGGGAUCUUCGGACCUUGCGCGAUUGAAUGAGCCGAUGUCGGAUUAGCUAGUUGGCGGGGUAAAGGCCCACCAAGGCGACGAUCCGUAGCUGGUCUGAGAGGAUGAUCAGCCACACUGGAACUGAGACACGGUCCAGACUCCUACGGGAGGCAGCAGUGGGGAAUAUUGGACAAUGGGCGCAAGCCUAAUCCAGCCAUACCGCGUGGGUGAAGAAGGCCUUCGGGUUGUAAAGCCCUUUUGUUGGGAAAGAAAAGCAGCAGGUUAAUACCCCGCUGUUCUGACGGUACCCAAAGAAUAAGCACCGGCUAACUUCGUG
rnacentral:rRNA from 1 species